AUCUUGGUUUCCUUAGAAACCACCUCAUAUUCAUUCUCCAUUUAUGU
rfam:Anas platyrhynchos breed Pekin duck contig105296, whole genome shotgun sequence.